ACCUCCCAUCCGUGUCUAUCUGUACCCUGUUGCUUCGGCGUGGCCACGGCCCGCCGAAGACUAACAUUUGAACACUGUCUGAAGUUUGCAGUCUGAGUUUUUAGUUAAACAAUAAUUAAAACUUUCAACAACGGAUCUCUUGGUUCCGGCAUCGAUGAAGAACGCAGCGAAAUGCGAUAAUUAAUGUGAAUUGCAGAAUUCAGUGAAUCAUCGAGUCUUUGAACGCACAUUGCGCCCCCUGGUAUUCCGGGGGGCAUGCCUGUCCGAGCGUCAUUGCUGCCCUCAAGCACGGCUUGUGUGUUGGGCUUCCGUCCCUGGUAACGGGGACGGGCCCAAAAGGCAGUGGCGGCACCAUGUCUGGUCCUCGAGCGUAUGGGGCUUUGUCACCCGCUCCCGUAGGUCCAGCUGGCAGCUAGCCUCGCAACCAAUCUUUUUAACCAGGUUGACCUCGGAUCAGGUAGGGAUACCCGCUGAACUUAAGCAUAUCAAA
rnacentral:rRNA from 1 species